rnacentral:lncRNA from 1 species
ACCGCCUUUACAAAUGCUCACUUCCUGAGAAUGAGAAGCUCGAAGCCUCUCAGAACAUCACUGUUCACUAUGUGAAUCUGAAUCUCAGCCCCUCUGGAGAGGUUGUGAAAAUGGUCGGGGGCAAACUUUUCUGUACAAAUUGACCUGAAGACUUCAAUUGAUCCUCAAAUCUCAUGGACAAAGGAUGGAAAAUUGGUGAGUCAACCAGAGUUUGAGAGGCUACACUACGCCGACGCCGGCCUUACACCUGUAAAGUCUCCAUACCUGGAGUGACUUCUUCAGAAGCAAACAUUGAACUCGUUGUAGAAGGUGAGCAAAUGUUAAGUUUAUUGGUAACAUUUUGAUAAGUGCUGCAAAACAUUCAAUAUAAUUUUGACAAAGAUAGUUUAAACCUUUGUUAAACUUGUAUGUAGU